AUCUAGUUGACGAGUUCCAAAUAAGACGAAACGCGCGUCCUGGAU
rfam:Schistosoma margrebowiei strain Zambia genome assembly, scaffold: SMRZ_scaffold0001809